UACGAAGGGGGCUAGCGUUGUUCGGAAUUACUGGGCGUAAAGCGCACGUAGGCGGAUAUUUAAGUCAGGGGUGAAAUCCCAGAGCUCAACUCUGGAACUGCCUUUGAUACUGGGUAUCUCGAGUAUGGAAGAGGUGAGUGGAAUUCCGAGUGUAGAGGUGAAAUUCGUAGAUAUUCGGAGGAACACCAGUGGCGAAGGCGGCUCACUGGUCCAUUACUGACGCUGAGGUGCGAAAGGCGUGGGGAGCAAACAGG
rnacentral:rRNA from 1 species